UUAAGUUCAGCGGGUAUCCCUACCUGAUCCGAGGUCAACCUGAAAAAAUUGGGGGUUGCUGGCAAGCACACACCCGGAUCUCCGAAGCGAGGAAAAUUACUACGCUUGAAGCCGAAUGGCACCGCCACUGAUUUUAAGGCCUGCCGAAACUCAGCAGGGCCCAAUACCAAGCAGAGCUUGAGGGUUGUAAUGACGCUCGA
rnacentral:misc_RNA from 1 species